rnacentral:rRNA from 1 species
AACGAACGCUGGCGGCAGGCUUAACACAUGCAAGUCGAACGCCCCGCCAGGGGAGUGGCCGACGGGUGAGUAACGCGUGGGAACAUACCCUUUCCUGCGGAAUAGCUCCGGGAAACUGGAAUUAAUACCGCAUACGCCCUACGGGGGAAAGAUUUAUCGGGGAAGGAUUGGCCCGCGUUGGAUUAGCUAGUUGGUGGGGUAAAGGCCUACCAAGGCGACGAUCCAUAGCUGGUCUGAGAGGAUGAUCAGCCACAUUGGGUCUGAGACACGGCCCAAACUCCUACGGGAGGCAGCAGUGGGGAAUAUUGGACAAUGGGCGCAAGCCUGAUCCAGCCAUGCCGCGUGAGUGAUGAAGGCCUUAGGGUUGUAAAGCUCUUUCACCGAUGAAGAUAAUGACGGUAGUCGGAGAAGAAGCCCCGGCUAACUUCGUG